rnacentral:misc_RNA from 1 species
UCGGUACGAGUCACAAAAAAGGCGUGACUGGAACACGUUCGGACAGUACCUGAAGAACCAAACACCGCCGGUUCCGCUGUCACAGUGUAAUUGCAACCACGUUUUGGAAUUCCUGAGGUACCUGGACCAGUUCGGAAAAACUAAGGUUCAUUUACAUGGGUGUGUUUUUUUCGGGCAGCCUGACCCACCUGCCCCUUGUACCUGCCCCCUCCGUCAAGCAUGGGGAAGUCUCGACGCUCUGAUCGGACGGCUGAGAGCAGCCUACGAGGAGCACGGCGGAUCACCCGAAACAAAUCCUUUUGGAAAUGGAGCAAUUCGAGUGUAUUUGAGGGAAGUGAAGGAGUGCCAAGCUAAAGCAAGAGGAAUUCCGUACAAG